AGAGGAGAUCCUCACUCACAGAGGGCUCCUGAAGGCCUCUGACUUCAUUAAAUUGCAAAGGGCAUAUCUGAUUCAAUUCUUAAGCAGCCCCCGGCCUGGUACAGAGAGGACGGCUUCUUUAUUGCUACAAGGUUUGCCAGACACCAGGGGCACGGCAUUCGGCAACCGUGGAGGGGGACCGGCAUCCACAUUUCUUCCUGAUGGCAGAUCCGUGUGAGUAGAGUGUUUGGAAGAUCUCCUGGAUGUUGGAGCAGUCCUGAAGAGAGUGGGCCAGGUGUUCCGCCACACUGCUGGAUACCUGUACAGGUGAG